CGUCCAGACUCCUACGGGAGGCAGCAGUGAGGAAUAUUGGUCAAUGGUCGGGAGACUGAACCAGCCAAGCCGCGUGAGGGAUGAAGGUACAGAGUAUCGUAAACCUCUUUUGUCAGGGAACAAAGGCGGGGACGUGUCCCCGGAUGAGUGUACCUGAAGAAAAAGCAUCGGCUAACUCCGUGCCAGCAGCCGCGGUAAUACGGAGGAUGCGAGCGUUAUCCGGAUUUAUUGGGUUUAAAGGGUGCGUAGGCGGAAUAUCAAGUCAGCGGUAAAAAUUCGGGGCUCAACCCCGUCGUGCCGUUGAAACUGAUGUUCUUGAGUGGGCGAGAAGUAUGCGGAAUGCGUGGUGUAGCGGUGAAAUGCAUAGAUAUCACACAGAACACCGAUUGCGAAGGCAUCUCACGAAUCCGCGAUUGACGCUGAUGCACGAAAGCGUGGGUAUCAAACAGGAUUAGAUACCCGAGUA
rnacentral:rRNA from 1 species